UCCACGUCUGGACAGCAGGGAAAGGCUUUAUGGAUAUCCCCAUGGCUUUCUGUCUCCUCAGACACCAGCUACCUGCUUUUCCGUGUGCUCAGAGAUCUUGGUUCGCCGUCAUUUGGCCUUGUUGGAGUGGGCCUGUGUUAAAGACAAAGCAUCGUAUUGUAAAGGAGUCUGUGGAGCAUGGAUGGCUGCCUCAUGAUGGUCAGAAAGCAGAAAGGAAGAGAAACCAGAAGGAGCCAAGGUGGGAUAUCCUCUUCAAAGAGGUACCUUUCGUGACCCACCCUCCGGCCAGAACCUACCUCCUCACAGCUCACUCACGAAUUCACUACCGGGUCUGGGUGAUGGGGAACGAAUGAGCAGUCUCUGCCUACACACACACAGAGGAAAAAAGGCAGACACACCAGUAUCUCCUUCUGAAAGAGGCACCCUGCUAACCAGCUCCUCACCUGACUACAUCCCAGGAGGAUGGCCCUUCCUGAGUUCCUGAGCUAGCCUCUCCUCACCCUCUGGUCAACCAAUGAGGGAACUGAAGUCCGAAAUCGAACAGGAUAUUGGUAACCAUUACCAGCACUGGUCAGGGUCAAACAUGGGCAACCAAACAGUGGCAUCAGAGACCCUUGAAGGUGCAUUUUAGGUCAACUUUUUACAUGGUUCUGCAUGCUUCUCUUCUUAUCACAUCUGGGGAUCAAUGCCUGGGAGCCAGACCCAAUGGUGGCCAUUACAGAAGCAGGUGCUGACCUCGAAAUGUCAGGAAUCUGCCUGGGAGACCCCAGGGGCUGUCUUCUAGUGUCACAGUGGAUGCUGUUUCCGCGCCAACCCUACAUUUGCUCCUGGCGCCCUUUGCCUUUAGGUAGCCAUGCCAUCUGUUAGCCAAGGAGACUGGGGUUUGUGUCCCCUUCAGUUUGCCAGUCUCCAGGUAUGACUCAUUUCUGCUCAAGGAGGGAUGGUUCAAGUCCAUUUGGACAGGACACUUGGUGCGACAGAAAUAGAAGCUCAUCAGAGGUGUGCUUCUGCUUGACUGGUGCUUAGCCAAGUCACAGGAGGCUUAGCGUCUUGUAAUGAGAAUGCAGAGAAGGGAAAUUGGUUGUGUGCGUGUCUGUGUCUGUGUGUGUGUGUGCGCGCGUGCGCACAUGUGCACAUACACGUGGGAGAGCAUGCACAUGUGUGCAUUGAAGAUCUUUGCUUUCAUUUUAGCUGGCAGAAAUCAUUGCCCACUUGUAAUCAAUCUCUCUUCUGCUAUUCUGACAUCCUACUUCCAAUUAGUACCCUCUCCUCCAACAAAGCAGGUGAAGGUGGGUAGCAGCUCCUGGGGGCACAUUGAUUUACUGUGUUACUCUGGGUCACACCCUGAGCUGCUCUGGACUCCAUUUUUUCUAAAAAAAAAAAAAAAAAACUGGACAUGAUGAAAAUGCGGCGUAGAUUAGAACACUUUGAUUUUAACAAGUCAAAUGAGGAGGCUGCGUGAUGCAAAAGGAUCGUUGCGGGCAGUAAAAUCUUAUACCAAGAAGAGAGGGCGUCAUUAUGUCUCCGUGGGAAUGGAUUUUCAAUUUUCUCUGGAUGGCUUUUGAUGGGCGUAGGAAACGAAGAUUGAAUCAGACAGCAUUCUGAGCCGGAGACAACGGAAAGGGCUCGCACUAAUUGAAAUCGUGAGGAGGUUUAUCGACAGCACACUGAUGUGGCGUAGACUUGCCAGAGAGCUGCUGAGCCAGGUGUGCUUAAGUUAUCAAGUGCCAAGAGCUCUGGGCAAUGGCUGUAGCUACGGCACAGAACCCAGAGGCUGCUAAAGUCAUUCUUUAAUGCAAGAAAAAGUGGUGGCUCAGCCACCUCUGUGGCUCCUGCGACCUGCAUGGCCCCAAAGCAGUGGCACUUAUGACUUCUGGAUGGUCUCUGCCUUUUUAAGCCAGCGUUCAGAAGGCAGGGUCCAUGUCAUUCCCUGUACUCAACUCUAGGGAGGCUGGGACGGUGUGGCCUGUGGGGCUUCCAUUUCUGUUGUGAAGACCAAGCUGAAGGAGGACAUGCCAUUUCUCCAUCAGAUGGAGAAGUUGUGGGAAGAGAUGGGACAUCGUGAAGACCAUUGAAGGACUUGGUUUGGGGCUUGGGAGAGGGCUGGGUGGGUGAACCGCUUGCUGUACAAAGGUGAGAACCUGAGGUGAGAACUCAGAACCCAAGGAAAGCCAGAGGUCAGAGUGCAGACCUGUAAUCUUGGUGUUCCUGCAAUGCUGGGGAGGAGAGACAGGAGACUCUGGAAACUCAAGGAUCAGCUAACCUGGCAUAUACAACCCAACCAGACCCCGUUUCAACAAAGCAGAAGGUGAGGGCUAACAGUCAGAGUUGUCUUACCACCUCCACUCACCGGCUGUGGUGCCCGUGAGUACAAAUGCGUGUGCACGCCGUACACGAAGAUAUCUUUAAGGCCUGGGUUAAUAUUGACAGAGCCAUAUGAUUGCUUAUCAGAUACCAGACUUUCCAACAGAGAUUUGUUGAGAACACUCUGAGCUGUCACAGCCCAAACCCCUGACCACUGUCACGUGACUUUCCUCCACCUCAGAGGAGGAGGAAGUAGAAAUGACUUGAUUCCAACUGGCUUACUCCUGUAUCUUCUGGGACCCCAACCCUUCACUCUUCCUGUCUCCUUUGGUGGCACAAUGGCAGGACAGAGCUUUUGCCUUGAAUUUAAAGCAUAAACAAUGUACAUUAUGUUUUAGCACAUGAGGUAAAUAAUCAUUUAUAGAUAUUACUAAACGUCUUUGUGAAAAUGUGGAUAAAUCCGUAUGAUAUAUUGUCAAUAAUAUAUCAAAUUGUUAUUGUUAUUUGAUAUAUUGAAAACAAAAGGAGAAUACCCAAAUUAUAAGUAUGUGUGACUAAAUGGACAUAAAAUAAAUGUGGAAAUUGAUUAAUAAAGUAAUCUGUAAAGUGGGAAAUAGCUGUUUGGGAUUAAAUUGUAGGUAUGAGUAAUUUUGAUUUUUAAAUAUCUUUUCCUUUAAGGUUGCAGCCAUGUAGCUACUUUCUUAAAAAGAAAUAUAGCAAGUUCUGCAGCUGUAUUUAAAGGGAAACUAAAAUUCUAUCUUGGAAGAUGUUUACUAUACUGGAAGCUUCAGUAGUGUCCCAAGUUAUGCUCAGGAUAAGUGA